UCCUGAAGGUUUAAUGGUGUUUUUC
rnacentral:piRNA from 1 species